AAAAUCUUAGCUUAAUUAAAGUGUUUGUUUUGCGUACAGAAGAUGUGGGGUACCUCCUGCAGAUUUUA
rnacentral:tRNA from 1 species